UUCAUAUGCCUGUUUGUUAUACAAUAGGUAUAUGGUGUGAGGUUGUGUCCAGGUUUGGACCAACUAAAAGAUUUCAAUUAAAACUAAACUAGAUUCUGAUCCGCACAUACGUGCGAAGUUUCAUAUUUUAAUAAAUGUAUUGGAAUACAUUUUUAGUGAAAGAUAUUGUAGUGUAUAAAUUAUAAUAUGCAUAGAAAAGUGUAUAGUGUUAUUUAUGAUACAAUAACUAAA
rnacentral:sRNA from 1 species